AAAGAAUUUGAGGUUAAGUUAAGGGAGAUGAAACCAGGCAUGCUGUCACAAGAACUGAAAGAAGCGCUUGGUAUGCCAGAAGGCGCUCCUCCUCCAUGGCUCAUCAACAUGCAGAGAUAUGGUCCUCCACCAUCCUAUCCAGAUCUAAAGAUUCCAGGACUCAAUGCUCCCAUUCCUCCUGGAGCUAGCUUUGGUUACCAU
rnacentral:misc_RNA from 1 species